AACGAACGCUGGCGGCAUGCCUAACACAUGCAAGUCGAACGAGACCUUCGGGUCUAGUGGCGCACGGGUGCGUAACACGUGGGAAUUUGCCUCGGGGUAUGGAAUAACUCAGGGAAACUUGAGCUAAUACCAUAUAAUGUCUUCGGACCAAAGAUUUAUCGCCCAAGGAUGAGCCCGCGUAGGAUUAGCUAGUUGGUGAGGUAAAGGCUCACCAAGGCGACGAUCCUUAGCUGGUCUGAGAGGAUGAUCAGCCACACUGGGACUGAGACACGGCCCAGACUCCUACGGGAGGCAGCAGUGGGGAAUAUUGGACAAUGGGCGCAAGCCUGAUCCAGCAAUGCCGCGUGCAGGAUGAAGGCCUCGGUUGUAACU
rnacentral:rRNA from 1 species